AGAAGAGUCUGGAAAGACAAGAUUUCUGUUCUUAAAGGAUGGGAGGUGUGGAUGUGGUGACUGCUGCUACUUGGAAGAUCUCUUAUUGCAAUUAUGGUUUCCACCUGAACUCCUGUGCACUGAAGAGAGGGCACUGAAUUCUUGCUUGUUUCAAGAAAACCUCUUUGAGUAAUCCCCUGAGCUUGCCUACAGGGCUUGGAUUUCCUAAUGGAUGCUUUGAUGACAGGAGAUAAGAGCCAAAGUCUUUUCAGUUAUACAGCGAACGAAGAGCACUCGUGUUGUCCUACUGCCAAUAUUUGUAAUUUCUUCACAAAGAAAUCUGAUCCCGGAAACGUACAUUGUUUGAAAUAGAAAACAGACAUUAAGCUGUGG
ensembl:lncRNA